rnacentral:rRNA from 1 species
GAUGAACGCUAGCUACAGGCUUAACACAUGCAAGUCGAGGGGCAGCAUGGUCUUAGCUUGCUAAGGCCGAUGGCGACCGGCGCACGGGUGAGUAACACGUAUCCAACCUGCCGUCUACUCUUGGACAGCCUUCUGAAAGGAAGAUUAAUACAAGAUGGCAUCAUGAGUCCGCAUGUUCACAUGAUUAAAGGUAUUCCGGUAGACGAUGGGGAUGCGUUCCAUUAGAUAGUAGGCGGGGUAACGGCCCACCUAGUCUUCGAUGGAUAGGGGUUCUGAGAGGAAGGUCCCCCACAUUGGAACUGAGACACGGUCCAAACGCCUACGGGAGGCAGCAGUGAGGAAUAUUGGUCAAUGGGCGAGAGCCUGAACCAGCCAAGUAGCGUGAAGGAUGACUGCCCUAUGGGUUGUAAACUUCUUUUAGAAAGGAAUAAAGUCGGGUAUGGAUACCCGUUUGCAUGUACUUUAUGAAUAAGGAUCGGCUAACUCCGUG